UGAGGAAUAUCGGGCAAUGGAGGCAACUCUGACCCAGCCAUGCCGCGUGCAGGAGGACUGCCCUAUGGGUUGUAAACUGCUUUUAUACAGGAAGAAACACACCUACGUGUAGGUGCUUGACGGUACUGUAAGAAUAAGCACCGGCUAACUCCGUGCCAGC
rnacentral:rRNA from 1 species